rnacentral:lncRNA from 1 species
UGAUAACCUAACUGCUUUUGUAAAAUAGCCAAUCCACCCCUGGAUAGGCAGUGCUUACUUGUUGGGAUACUCGAGUUAUGGGUGAUGUGAUUUCCUUGUAUCAUAGUAAAAUGUUUUCCACUAACUAGAGAUUAGUUACUCUGUAUUAUUAACGUCAAAUGUAAAGAAAAGAAUUAACUUUAAUUUCCGAAGUAGAACUAAAUUAAAACUGACUAUUGAAAGGAAUUAAUCACGAGAAAGGUAAACAAUUAUACUAAUAGUUCUCAAAUCGAAUGGAUGUUACCGAUACUUAAAAAAAAACCUUGUCAACUUGUAGUUAAUUAGACAAUAAAUGUUUCACUCUUGACGGAGUACAUGUUAGUGAAAUGUGGCUACUUUGAUGUAGGCUGACCUGCACUUCACACAGAAUGUAAUCAACGUUAUACCUAUAUUGUUUUAUUUUUUUUUAACUUUGUCAGUUAAAUUUACACUGCUACUGUUUUUUAUAUUAAUGAAAUCCCUUGAAUGUAAUGUUGAAUAUAAAAAAUACGUCAUCGGUACAGCUUUGUAUUAAUGUACUUUUUUUACAUUUGAUUGGUGUAUUUGAGACCACUCAUAAAUUAAAACUACUUGGUUUUGUUUUGCAGAGAGCUUUACACGUUAUCCGUGUGGUAACUGAAUUGUAUAUUAACCAAUUUUCCGUUUUGUUUUUGUAAUUAUUGGUUGUCCUAACAUAACAUGAUUUGUACUGGUUAUUUAUUUAGGCUAAACAACUCUCAUGUUACACCUGUAUCUGUGGUUUAUAGCUUGAUAGAAACUAUCGUGUGUACAUCUUUUAUUAAAGCUCAUUCUACUACUGUGAAAGGAAUACCAUUAAUUGCACUGUUUGCUCAUAUUCUUGUAUACAGUAAUUAUUGACAUAACCCAUAUUAAUUUCAGAAACAAAAUGCAAAUAUAUAAAUAUAUAUAUAUAAAGCUAUGAUUUUAUCCUAUAGCUAGAUAAAUAUGAAUAGCUUUAAAACUUGAGAAUGUUAUAUUUCUCAUUGACUGUGUGUGUGUGUGUGUUUGGUUAUAAGUACUAGUUAGAAAACUGUUUUAUUUACUAAUGUAGUGAAAUAUCUUAGCAUAACAUCAUUCAGGUAUUAAAGAUUUAUUUUCAUUGUUUUGUAAGUUGUUUACGGGGGUUUUCUUUGUACAAGUUAGUAAGAAAACACAUUAUUGAAAGGUUCUGCCUGAUGAAGAUGUUUAAAAGUUAUUUGUAAUAGAACAUGGAAUUAGAAAUAAGAGUGGUUGUUCAGUUUAAUUGUUUUUUAUGAGAGAAUUAGCUAGCAAAUGUCUGCCUCUUUUGUAAAUGGUUUCAAAUAUAAAAUAGUUUAUCUAGUUUGAUGUAUAUCAUCAACAUUUAAAGCUAAUGUUAAAGUAGGCUUAAAUAAAAACAUGUUAGGAAGUGAUCAUUUGUAUUUUGCUUUGAGUUACGUUUAUAGCACAACAUUUGUUUAUAUAUAUAUAUAUAUAUAUAAAAUAAAUCAAAACCUGAAAGAACAAUCAUAGUUAACUGUCAAUUUUAUUCCAAUAAUUUGUCAGACCUGUGUUUUUAGAACUUAUGGUGUAUCUACUUUUGUUUGCAUUAUCUUUAAGGAUAUAUAUAUAUAGUCUUAAUUUAUAUACAAGCCUAAACUCUUGAACUACGAGGAUAAUCUUGUGUCAAGUGGAAUUUAGAAGCAUGUUUCUUAGAUUUGAAUAAUGAAGUUUUAGUAAUUAUAUUUCAAUUGAAAGUUUGUUAGUAUGACACACAUUUUUAUAUAUUUAUUUUAAAAUAAUAAUUUGUUAACCUGUAGACAACAUCACACAAUUCUUUUUUUAGUGUAUUAGGGAAAGAAGUGUGAUACUGUUCAUCUCAAGGCAUUGACGGUUCAGAAUAAGAUUACAGUUCGUAAUAAAUAUGGGCUUGUAAAUUGAUAAUGUUUCAAGUUUAGCCUAUCAAUGUAUUUUCUCA